rnacentral:lncRNA from 10 species
CAGAGGUGGAGCCUACAGAGGCAGGCAGGCCUCCUUGAGCUGUGGUGGGCUCCACCCAGUUCGAGCUUCCCGGCUGCUUUGUUUACCUAAUCAAGCCUGGGCAAUGGCGGGCGCCCCUCCCCCAGCCUCGCUGCCGCCUUGCAGUUUGAUCUCAGACUGCUGUGCUAGCAAUCAGCGAGACUCCGUGGGCGUAGGACCCUCCGAGCCAGGUGCCGGAUAUAAUCUCGUGGUGCGCCGGUUUUUAAGCCGGUCUGAAAAGCGCAAUAUUCGGGUGGGAGUGACCGGAUUUUCCAGAGUUUAGGAUGCUUCAAGGGAAAGAUGAACCGGGGAACCGCCACCGUGACUAUUUCUCAUCUACAUAUCCACCCCCCGAAGUUCUUAAGGUGGAGCGGAAUUCAUUUUAUUUGCAAAUGUGGAAGGCAUUAUAAAAACCGUGAAUGAUGCCCCCUCCCAUGAGGGAUACAGGGAGAGCCACGUGAAGAGGAUGUUGGGCUUCUUCAAGCUGGCAGGGCACUGAGCUGACUGUCCACCACACUCACCAGGGGCCUUUGUGCAUCCCGUGGGGCAGCUCUGGGAAAGGAGGGCCAGAAAGGAUGGGCUUUCCCUUUUCCUCGUGGCAGAAACUUCCCUGACUUCAUAGCUGGGUUCCCCCUAUCCACAGUUUACAGUACAACUAUCUCCUCCAAGUUGGCCAGCAUUGCCUCUGAUACGUGAACAAGAAGUAUUUGGAGGGUUAAUAAAUACAAAUCAACACAUAUACACAUGAAGAGAAAAUGGAUGUAAUAACCAAGGACUGCCUGAUAUGCGGGAACUGAAGCUCAGAAAGGCAAAACAACUUUUCAUGCUCUUCUACCUAAUAAGUCGGAGAACCAAGAUUCAAAUUCUAAAUGCGGGUCUGAUUGAGGCCAAGCAGGUGAGCAGGCUCAAUGGGAUUCUCAGUGUUGGCCUGGCUUCCACACAAGGAAGAGGCCACUGGCAGGGGUUCCUGUCCUCAGCCAGGCUUCUAGCCUGACACUGGCUGGACAACGCAGAGUGAAGCUGGUCAUAGGGCAGGGUUUCCUGAAGCUGUGCCUGCUUCAUGAGGCUGCCUGCUGGCCCAGGCUCACCUCUCCCUCCAAAGGGCACAGUGGCUAUUUCUGGCCGUCCCAGCCUCUGGCUGUGUCUGUCUUCUUUAACCUUCCUGAGGCUCCAAAGGCCAUUAGGAAGCUGGCCGAAGCUUCAUGGCCCAAUGACAGGACUAGGAUCUUACUGGAUGGAGGAGGGGAGAGAGUGAGUCUUUAGGUCCGUGAAAUUGCUGCCAGCAUUUGGCCAGCUGUCGUCCAUCAGCCAGAGAGCUAACCAGAGCCUCCCUUGGGGCUGGUCCCUGGAGUGCCAUGGAGCAGAGGCCGUGCCAGUUCCUGGCUGGGGGCCAGAAGAAAAUCAAUAUGAGUUGGCCUGCUCCAGCAGGGCCCCCCACAUCUGGUGCCGGGAAUGACUGAUUGAAGGGACUUGUCAUAGAAUGAUGGGAGGCCACAGCUGGAAGGGAUUUGAGUGACCAUAUGGCCCAGUGGUUCGCAAACCCUUUAACACAGUGGAGAUCUUUCUUCGAAUGAAACUGCAGGCAGUAAAAACCAAUACAGAAAACUGUUAGUAGUAGAACUCACUGAGAUCCUGGGAACUCCCUGGGCCCCUGGCGGUCUGUGAAACAGCUUGGGCCAUGCUCAUCUCCUGGAACUCCCUGGUGGUGGAGAUGGAAAACAGGACAGAGGGUGAGAUUCUGACCUGUGGGGCAGAGCCAGGGCCCAGAGCCCAGGCUCUGACUUCCAGUGGGGCCCAGAAGACUGAAGCCACUCAGGGACUGUAUUAAUCCAGUCUGGCCAGGAGAGCUGCUUGUCUGUCCUGAGAUACCUAGGGGAAGCCCUGUCUGAUCACUUUCAGAUGCUGGGCAAAGGGAGGCCCUCCCUCCAGAAGGCUGCAUCAUUAGAGGUUUGAGUCAAGACCCUGGAGGAAACUGCAAGCUCAUGGAGCUGGGAGACCUGGGGUCAGCUUUGUCCUCCUAUAUAAAGGCUGAAAGUCAGGGACACUGAGGCAAGGGCUCCUUCCAGUUAUGUCCCAGAAGAAGAUAAAAGAAAAACUUCUUUGGGACUGGUGGGAAUCUUGGGAGAAAGUGGAAGGAUGAGUGGCCUCAAGCAUAUGGACUGGGUUCUCUUGUCCCAUUCUGGGAAAGUGUCAAAGGAACUGAGUGUUUGUUCGUGCCUCUAGGAGAGAAGAGGAUUUAGCCUAAGGCAGUGCCACCCACAGGAAAGGAAAGAGGGACAGUGGAGGCUCCUGGUUGGUGGGGACCAUGGUCCUUUAGGAAUGCUCUUCAGCAGUGCCUCACAGAGAAGAGCAGAUUCCUAGUGGAGCAUACACUUCAGCCAGCACCCGAGCCCCAGACUUCAUUAGUGUUCAGGUUUUACUUACUCUCACCAGUCUCUGGGUUUCAGACACAUUCUGGGCUUCAUGUGGACCCCAGACUUACUGUAUAUCCGGGCUACUUCUCACUUCAGAUGCUCUCCCCAGAACUGUUUAUUGGAUUAUUCUGAUUAUUCUCAAAGUUUUAUCCAUAUCUUGGGUUUUAUUCAAACCCACUGACCUUUAUUCAAUGCCAUAGAGUUUAUGUAGCUGAGAAUUUGUUUACUUUCAGACUCAAGACUUUAUCCUGUUCCUGCUUCAUCAAGCUAAACUCAGAGUUAAGCCUGCCAACCCUCUUCCACCUUCACCAGGUGUCAGUUCUAGCCUGUUACUUGUCUAGUUCUCAGAGGCUGUAGUGCCGUAAACCUUAUGUGUACGUUUGGCUUACCGGAAUCCAUCCUCAUUUUAACUACUUAAUCACAGGCUUUAUCACGGGCACACCUAGUUCCACUUUUACCCAGUUGCCUCUAAUGAACUAGUAGAGGGUAGUUAGUGUUCCAAGCAUGAACGCUGGAGUCAGACAGCUUUGAGUUCUGCUUAAUUUCUUCCGUGUGGCUUCGCAUAAGUAACUUAACCUCUCUGAGCUUUGCUUCCAACAUAUGUAAAUGAGAUAAUAAAGAUAAUGCAUAUAAAAUGCAUAGCACGUCGCCUAGCACAUAGUAAGCAUGUAGUCAGCUCUGGCUGUUGAUUUUAGCAUGAGCCUCACAAUGAAUAGCAUGUGGAAAUGCAGGAUUCAGGGCUAGAGCUGGACAGGUGAUGAAGGGAAAAGUAAAAAGUUGGCUAACUUUAGAAAAAGGAAAUAAGAAUUUGCUCUUUUUUUUUUCUCAGAAAAAGUUAAACAUACAGUUAGAAACUUUCAUGAACCCUCA